UUUCAACAUUUUUUUUUGAUUUAAAGAUUUAUUGACAAAAUACAUGAAAAUUUGACUUAAAAUUUCACUCAGUGUGUGUUUUUUGGAAUUGCAAAAAAAUGUUGUAUGGAACUCGUUGCAAAACUUGAUUUUUUCAGCACUCUUCGUAUUUAUCCAACUCGGUGAACCUCGUUGGAUAAAUGUACGACUCGUGCUGAAAAAAUCCUCUUUUUGCAACUUGUUGCAUAAACUACUAUUUUGCAAUUCCGUCGUGAAACUACUUACUUUUCCUGGCAUUCUCGCAUGACGAAACAGCCUAUUUUUAACUACUAAACAUAACAGAACCGAAUAGAAACACCUUUCAAAACAGAUGCUGAAAAGCUCUACUUUUCAGUACUGAAAUGGAUGUUGAAAAGUUGAACUUUUCAGCACUUGUUUUGAACACAUGGAUGUUUGACAUAAAAUCCCAUUCAAAAAGCGUGAUUCGGAAUUGCAAAAAAAAAGUUGUAAGCAACUCGUUGCAAAACUUGAUUUUUUCAGCACUUGUCGUAUUUACCCAACUCGGUAAACCUCGUUUGGUAAAUGUACGACUCGUGCUGAAAAAACCUUCGUUUUGCAACUUGAUGUAUAAACUACUAUUUUAAAUCUCGUCUCUUACAAUUAAAUUUUUUUCGGUGUAUCGGAUCGGUGACGGUGAAUUGACUAAAUAUAUGAAAAUUUGACUCAAAAUUCCAUUCAAAGGAUGUUUUUAGCCUUUCUUAGAGCAUCAUUACCGGUGCGUUGCGGAAAUUGUUGCUAUUUUGUUAACCGGUAACGCUUCUAUUUUAGUUUAGUCACCCACUCGCACACCGGUCGUUGCCAAAUUAGGUUGUCAAUUUACUACCCGGCAACCUUACCGGUGGUUACUGAAUUAUUUUGUUUGGUGAUUUUAAUAAAAGUUUUCCCAUAUAUUUGAUCACGAAAAUAAAAUGUUAGAAUGUCUACUUUGCGAUUCCGACUGGCAGAACCGGUUUUGGGCACUGUGGCCACCGGGAACCUGCUACAACCGAAAAAAGUCCUUUUUGAGGCCCCGACUUUGAGGACCUGUAUCUCCGGAACGAUAACACAUAGCGGGUUGCUUCCAGUUGCAUUUGACGGGUUAUAACCUCAACUUUAUGCUCCCGUAGAGAUGAUUUGUCAAAAGUGGACACCGGUUCCGUUAACCCGGAACAUCCGAAAAACAUGAUUUUUACAGAUUUUGUUAUAAAAUCAACACAUUAGUACAUUUUUUCAACCGGAUUUUUUGUAAAUUAUUACAUACGUACACUACAUACUACCCCUGACUGUUUGGGAUCGUUCCGGCCAACUGUGGCCAAUCCGGAACCGGUUCCAGGGUACCACCAAAACGGUUCCAAUAAUGGUAUCGCUAGAAACCCAUCAUGUUGCAUAUCAAACUUCAUGAAAUUGAAAAUUAUGACCAUCUAAGGUCAUGACGAUAUCUUGCCACUGGGGGACACUUCCGGAGGGUCUGUAAGUUAGGUAAUUUUGGAAGGUUCAACUAAAUUUAUCUACUACAGAAAAUUCAAACCGCCAUCAAUGAAAUGGUUCCGGAAUGGUAAUCGGGCUCGGUUGUGUAGCUGCUAGUGUGAUUGCUCUCACCCAGCCGGCCUGGGUUCGCUCCCAGUCCCCGACCCCGUUCACAUUUCUUAAGACGAGUAAUGUGUCAUCACACCUUCUAUCGGAUGGGGAAGUAGAACGUCGGUUCCAGCCUCAGUUGUUGUACGGUUAUUUGAUCAUUCCAGAUGUAGGAGUUUUCUCCCUGCUAUAAGUACAAACAACACUCCAAACCAAGCCUCCUCCGGUGGAGUCCCUGGCGGCGGUUGGACUUCCAAUCCAAAGGUCGUCAGUCCGAACCCUGGGAUGGAAGGUUCCUUGGAAAAUAAGAAGGAUUUGGAGCUCUUCCCAUUGAAACCUUUUAAAUCUUAGGUUCGAGAAGAAACUUUAAACUUGGUUCUUUGCAUAUUCCACAAAUUUCCUCCAUACCCAACCCAUUUUCGGUUCCAAAUUAAUCAGGAUGGGACGGAGGACAUCGCCAUCAGCUAUUGUCUCCCAGUGGCCAGGUUGGAUUAAAAGACGUGGGCAAGCUUCCCAUGCGCCAGUGCCAACGCACACCGCGGGUUUGGUUUUCUAGCUUCGGUACGAGCCUGAUCCCAUUGUGUGUUGGUAUUUCGGUUCAUCGUACCAGCGCACCACGACAAUCUCAUGAACCGUGGUAUUAAAACCGGUUUGUACCGCCAGCGCGUACCACGGCACGUACCAAGGGGAAAACCACUCUGCUCAUUGCCCUCGAGUAGGCUGUGCCCUAAAGUUACCCAAACGUGCCCGAAGGUGCCCGAAUGUUGCCCAAAUGUGUCCUGAAGCUUCUCAAAAUAAAUAAUUUGUGUACGAUGCUUAGCAACCCUGUUACUUUGUUUACACUUUUUUGGACUGCUCUCGGUUUGUGUUGUGAAUUUUUCUCGGAGAACAAACAGCUGCUCGAGGAAUCAUACCUCCUGCAAGCGCCACAAUUCUAAGCGAAGGAAGGACCACCGAAAGCGCUUUCAGUUGAGAUAUCUUAUUCCCCGCGAUCCUGAGAUUGUCGCAAGCAUUCCCACAUGAGGAAAUCUCGCGUUGAAGCGUGUCUGUGGUGCCGAUCCCAAUGAAGCGCUGGUGAGAUCGAUUGUAAAGACAACAGGAAUGGCAUGUCAACGACGUGUUGGUGCCGGAGCAACAGAUUUUCCGAAGGGCCAAAACUGGUUGGCGAUCAGCACAUUGGCAUGAUGGCUCACGUUGUAUCCGGAUUAAAUUUCAACACUACCUGACCACACCAAGAUGUUUGCGUCGGAAAGUUUAACACUUCCUGUCAGGAGCUGCGAGCGUUAUUCGUCGCCACUGCUCAGUUCAAGAUGGUCCCGGCCUCAACGCAGGUUGCGGUACAAGGACAAGAAGCCGUUUGCCUGGUGCAGUGCAAUUUGUACAUUCAAAACAUAUUCAACAAGCUAGUUUUAUUUUUAUUCACACAAAACUAUAUUUAUUUAUAACGACAUUUUUUAAAUAUAAUAAAGAACACAUGAUCAACAAAUUUGCAGAACUUCGUCGCAUCUCAGUGCUGGGAUAUUAAAAUCAUAAACUCUUUGUUUGUCUUUUUGGUAUUCCCGUCAAACGGUUUUCCCGGGUGUUGAAUUGUAUCAUUUUUUUUUUAUUCGGCACAACUUCCAGUAUUUCGUCGAGGUCCUUCUUUACUGGCUAUCGAUUUCACUACAGUGUCGUAGUACUUUAUCCCAGCACGACCGUGGUCUUGACUGAUCGUCGGUCAUGCAAGUGAAACCUUCCGGCAGGACGAUCUGGUCGGGUUUGUUAAUUUGUCGCGCUGUGUAUGUUCACUGCUGGAAGGGCCAAACUGAAAUACGCCAACCCAAAUGAGAAAACAUUGGUCUCUAAAUGCUACCUUUUUAUUAAACUCUGAUUGAUCACCUGAGCUUUAAACAAUUCCUUGAAUCGGAAAACAUUCCGAAAAACUAAACCAAUUCAUUCAAUCGAUUUUUGAAAUCUGAUUGUCAUGUUUGUUUCUGUUUGUUUAUGUAAAUGUCAAAAUUUUAGUCAAAGGUGCCCGAGAGUGUGCCCUAGGGUGCCCGAUGACGUGCCCGAUGUUGCCCAGGAGUGCCCAGGGCUCUUUGAUCAGAGUGGUUUUCCCCUUGGCACGUACCUCGGCACGUGCCGAGUGAAGCACCUUGGUUCAUACGUUGGGUUCAUGCCUCGGGUGAGUGCCAGACACACAACCGAGGCGACGAGCCGAGAUUGUCGUGGUGCGCUGGUACGUUGAACCAAAAUACCCUCGGCUCGAGAGAGUCGGGUACGGGUGUAAACCGAACAAAGCAGGCGCAAAGCAAAACCGAGGUACAAGUGAACCGCGUGUACCGCACGGUGCAGGGAAGCUUGGACGUGGGCAAGACCUUUGGUGGUCAUAAUUUGCAAUUUCAUGAAGUUUGAUAUGUCACAUGAUAUGCUUCCUUGCAUACUCCGGAAUUGUCCCCCAGUGGCCAGCGGCAACUGGUUCCAGCGUAACCAGGCUGGGUCACAGGAUAGCGGCAUGACCUUAGAUGGUCAUUAUUUGCUAUUUCAUGAAGUUUGAUAUGUCGCAUGAUUUGCUUCCCAGCAUACUCAGGAAGUGUCCCCCAGUGGCCACCGGUAACCGAUUCCGGCGUGACCAGGUUGGGUCAUAGGAUAUCGGCAUGACCUCAGAUGGUCGUAAUUUUCAAUUUCAUGAAGUUUGAUAUGUCGCAUGAUAUGCUUCCCUGCAUACUCCGGAAGUGUCCCCCCGUGGCCACCGGUAACCGGUUCCGGCGUGAACAGGUUGGGUCAGAGGAUAGCAGCAUGACAUUAGAUGGUCAUAAUUUUCAAUUGCAUGAAGUUUGAUACGUCGCAUGGUAGGGUUCUUUGCAUACUCCGGAAGUGUCCCCCACUGGCCACUGGUAACCGCUUCCGGUGUAACCAGGUUGGGUCAGAGGAUAUCGGCAUGACCUUAGAUGGUCAUAAUUUUCAAUUUCAUGAAGUUUGAUAUGCAACAUGACGGGUUUCUAGCGAUACCAUUAUUGGAACCGUUUUGGUGGUACCCUGGAACCGGUUCCAGAUUGGCCACAGUUGGCCGGAACGAUCCCAAACAGUCAGGGGUAGUAUGUUGUGUACGUAUGUAAUAAUUUACAAAAAAUCCGGUUGAAAAAAAUUACUAAUGUGUUGAUUUUAUAACAAAAGCUGUAAAAAUCAUGUUUUUCGGAUGUUCCGGGUUAACGGAACCGGUGUCCACUUUUGACCAAUCAUCUCUACGGGAGCUUAAAGUUGAGGUUAUUACCCGUCAAAUGCAACUGGAAGCAACCCGCUAUGUGUUAUCGUUCCGGAGAUACAGGUCCUCAAAGUCGGGGCCACAAAAAGGACUUUUUCGGUUGUAGCAGGUUCCCGGUGGCCACAGUGCCCAAAAACCGCAAAGUAGACGUUCUAACCUUUCAUUUGCGGCCAAGACAUCCAAAAUCGGUCAAGAUUCCGAAUUUUGGCAGCCAAAAACAUUUCUGGGUCAUAGAAAUCUGGAACGAUCUGGAAUCUGGAAGCAAACUCGCGUUUCACGUCCAAGAUGGCAUUCGUCACAAAUCUGCUCCGGUCGGAGCAAACUCUAACGUUGCGGCCAGUACCGGUCCCGACCGCCGUACCUCCAGAUGUUUUCGUCGGCGUACGUACCCCACCUCUGCGGUCCUUCAUUCUGCGCUGCGUGGCCGUUAUUGUGUUCAACUCGCUGCGUGAUUUGAAAACACGGAAGUGCCCUGCCAGGUGAGAAGUUGAAUCCGCUGUGGCCGGUUCAAAAUAGCUGCUUAUUCCACCUCAUCCUGUUGGUUCCAGGAGCUGGGGCCACCGAAGUCACGCGCGGACAAUUCAAACUGCAUAUUCCGUCGAACCAAGUAAUAUUUUUCCGCCGGAACACUUCAAUCCGCAAUCACCGACAAAACCCGAAAAAAAUCAAGCCAAACUCUAUCUAGUUUGUUUUGAACUUUGACAGUUCAAAGUUUUAGUUGCGUUGCUAGCGUGUUGCCAAAUAUGGUAACUCGCUCCCAACCGAGGCGUUACGUUUUAGUUUAGCAACGCAUUUGGCAACGACCGGUGUGGGAGCAAAGUUACUAUCACGCGUUACAAAACCUUAAAACCUGCCUAAUACUCACGCUGGUAAGGU